rnacentral:lncRNA from 1 species
UGGUUCGACCUCCUCUAGGCCCAAGCUUUCCUACUUAAAAGGUUUCCUUUAAAAUGUCUGUUCCAUAUCAGGGAAACUACCUGACUAUGUUUUAAAGAAAGGAGAGAAACAAAGGAUACACUGUUCCUAUUGGGGACUAUAAUUACUUAUCUUAUAUUCUUUGGGUUUGGGUUUAACUCUCUAAAACUUUUGCUAAGGAAUAAACUUUACAUCAAUAUUUGUAAGAAUAUUGGAUAUGAUAAAAAUAAACUCUAAAAUUGUAAUAAAGAGGUUCAAUUAAAACUUGUUGAUACCAGGGUUGAUUAUAUAUAUAUAUAUAUGUAAUGUUAAAGGAAACAUAUGGCUGGCUGCCAUAGCUGCUGUCAUCCCACUGAAAUAGAAAUAGCCAUGUGGCUGACAGACAUCAUUGAUAGGGUUGGAAAGGAUGAAUUUUGCCAUGCGACUUCACUCAUAUCUUGAAAACAACAGUAACAAUAACAACAACAACAACAAUAAAACUGGACCACAAAACAUAAGCUGGCCAAAGAGAAACAACUCCUGUGAAGUCCAAAGCAGAUGAUUCCUCUACUAUUAUCAAAAAUGCUAAUGAGCCUUCUCCUUAUCAACCUUUACCAUGGUCUUUUUCCCCUCUCUUGCUUCUUCAGUCUCUCUUCCUCCCUCCUCAGUGAUAUGCUGCCCGAAUCAACCCUCUUAGACAUCUAAUUCCUGCCCACUGGCUCCCACUCUGCCAUAGGAUGCUUUUUAACUCUCCCUACCUGACCCAAACAAGCCAUGGUUCUCCCUUUAUAGGAGGUUGCUUGCUGAAUAGCUUGUCCAGGGUACACAUCCCCCUUCUGAUUAAACAAACCCUCAAAUAGAAAAGAGACUUCAGUCUUUCCCUGUUAAAUUUUUCACCUUUUAAAUAGAAUUCCAGGAUAUUACCCAAUCUUACAACUCACCUUACAUGAUGUUUAUAUGAUUCUCACCAACAAUUUUCUCCACAAGGAGCAUGAGAAAGUCUGGAACCAGGAUAAGGUAUGUCCAGCUGAAAUCCAUCAAACUAAUGCCGCCAUCUAAGACUCAGCAGACACAGCCCUUGAUUGGGAUCCUGAAAUGGAAUAUUCCAGGGAUCAAUUUAUAAUUUGCCUUCUUUCUGGUUUCUACAAGGCCACCCUUAAAGUGGUAAAUUAUGAACAAAAUCCAAGAGGUCAUCCAGAAAAAAGACAGAAAUCUGUCUCAAUUUCUGGACCACCUUCAAAGGCCCAUUUACAAUACAACAAACUGCAUCCCAAGUCCCCAGAUGGAAAACAACUCCUUAUGAUCUGUUUUUAUUCCAGAGUUUUCCUUACAUUUGUUUCAACUUAAAUGUCUAGAAAGGGGACACCUGACUCCACAGUCAGAAGUAUCAACUACGGUUUUUCAGGUCUACUAUGAGACAAAUGGCAAAGUCCCAAAAUAAAAAUACUUGAUACUGCCUAAGGCCUUUCAGCCAGACAUAGCAGAAUCUUUGUGUCCCUGUUCAGAUACAAUUAGAAAGGUCAUUAGGCUCUAGUAUGUAUAAACUCUCACAAACCAUUCUGACCAUGUCUAUGUGUAGUUCUUGCAUAUGGAUGUUUAAUAUCCAAGAGACCUCUACCUCUAAUGAACAGUCCAUCCUGAUAAGGUUAGGAAAUUCAUUCAGAUCUAGUUGUCAAUGGCUGGUUCAGUUUCAUACAAUUCUUUUAUCCAUCUCUCCCUUACCUGGACUUAUCCAAUGCCUCUUUUCUCUAUAUCCAAAAGGAUGAUUACUGUAAAAGUGGCCAGAAACUUAUAAAAGUUACAAAUAUUGGUCCUGUUAAUGCCAUGUGACAAAUCUGGGCCAUCCUAAUUACCUAUAAGCUACUGAAUAACACUGCCUGGCCACUUUGGAGAGUGCUGGUUAUUUGCCCCUCCCAGGUCAAACUACCAUGUGUAGCCUCACCCAUAAGAUUACUAGACUCUCUCACCUUGCCUCUCAUUAACUACUGUGAGCCAAAUACCACUACUACCUCUUAUCACUCCCACAUCUCUAUCUUGGGUAUUGCCAAAUGUUUCAACCACUAAGUGACAUGCUUGGUGGACACACUGAAUCCAUUAGUCUUUAAUAACACUUUGGCUGUAUGCACCACCACACAGUCCUUGUGUCUGUAUAUAUACAAUGCCUAAAUUCUCUGUGGUACUCAGUUUAAACCUAGGUGGUCUGGGACUUGUGCUUUGAUGUUUCUUUCCCCAAAAUUAGGAGUGGUACCUGGUGAUGAACUCUCACUGAUUCCCAUCACAGGGUUUAUAAUAGAGUCACAGACAAAUGAGCAAUUCAGAUCCUAUCCUUUCUUGCAGACUUGGUAUAAGUGCUGUCUCCACUACAGCAGGAGGACUAACUACUUCCUUAGCUUUUUAUCUGAGUUUUUUCAUCUAAUUUCAUCCAAUGUCUACAGUAGGUGGCUCAAGCCAUCCUUAACCUCUAGGGCAAAAGAGAGUCAUUGGCCAUGUUGAGGCUAUAAAACCAGCAAGGCUUAGAUUUACUAAGAGCAGAGAGUGAUUUUCUUUGAUUCUUCCUCAGGGAGGAAUGUUGCAUCUAAGUCAACCAGUCAGGUAU